rnacentral:tRNA from 1 species
GAAUUCUUAGCUCAGUCGGUAGAGCGUCAGAUUCUUAAUCUGAGGUUCGUGAGUUCGAGUCCCAGAGAGGGCG